rnacentral:rRNA from 1 species
GACAGAGGAUGCAAGCGUUUAUCCGGAAUUACUGGGCGUAAAGCGUGCGCAGGCGGUUAUGUAAGACAGUUGUGAAAUCCCCGGGCUCAACCUGGGAAUUGCAUCUGUGACUGCAUAGCUAGAGUACGGUAGAGGGGGAUGGAAUUCCGCGUGUAGCAGUGAAAUGCGUAGAUAUGACGGAGGAACACCGAUGGCGAAGGCAAUCCCCUGGACCUGUACUGACGCUCAUGCACGAAAGCGUGGGGAGCAAACAGG